rnacentral:lncRNA from 1 species
GUGACAUUGUUUAUAGCAUCUGAAAAUUGGGUGCAGCUUCUACAAGUUUAUAUAAAGGAAUGGAUUUAAUUUUAGCAUAUCCAUUAUGUGAAAAAAAUUAUUAACUUAAAAUUAUGAUGCCAAUUUAUUUACUCUAAUAAUAGGUAUAAAAAGGUAAUAAAGUUGAAAAAAAACAUGUUUGAUCCUGGUUUUGAAAAAUGCUAAUCCAGUAGUAAUGAUUCAUAAGAUUAUACAGAAAAUAUUAGCCAUAAUCAAGAAGAUAAUUCUUUUUUUAUUUUACAUUGAACUUUAUGAACAUAAAAAAUUGACAUCCUAUUCCUAAAAUAUUGUUAGAUGUUUGACAAUAGGCAGAAAUAACACAAAAUUAGAGAAUGAGUACUAAUGCUAAAAUUUAAGCUACAACUUUAUUACCACCUAUGUGAAUAAUGAAACACAUUAUUUUUAAGUGUCCCUCAUUCUUUGGUCAUUUGAAAAUGUAAGGCUGUAUAUGAACAUACUUUGAACAUGAAAUAAUAUUUAUAAAAUUACUUUUUUUUCAGAAUAAAGUCUUAGAACCCUAAAUUUUCUUAUGCUUCAUAAAAACACUAUUGUGGUUCUCACCAGGCCAAUAAUAAUAACACUAAUAAUAAAAAAAUUUUCAAGGCUGAGAUUUCCCUUUCAUUCUCAGAAGAUAAACAGACAAUUGGCACCAAAUUAUAGAUUUGGGACAAACAAAACCUUGGUCUGUCAGUACAAGUAGAUAAAGUGAAGCUCAAGUGCUACAAAAGGAUUUGAUAGUACAACAGUUUGUUUGUUUGUUUUGGUACCAGUGAUUGAACUCAGAGGCCCUGGACUACUGAGCCACAUCCCAGCCCUAUUUUGUAUUUUUUUAGAUAUUUUUUAGUUGUUUUGAUGGACCUUUAAAUUAUUUAUUUAUAUGUGGUGCUGAGAAUAAAACACAGUGUCUCACAUAUGCUAGGCAAACACUAUAUUAUGAGCCACAACUGCAGCCCUCAUAUUUUGUAUUCUUAUUUACAGAUGGUCUCACUGAGUUGCUUAGCGCCUUGCUGUUGCUGAGGCUGGCUUUGAACUCGUGAGCCUCUAAGCCACUGGGAUAACAGUUGUGCACCACCGUGCCUGGCUGAUAGCACAUCAAUUUAUUAAAGCAGAAGCAUCUUCUGUGAAUUUAUUGGACAGCUUCUGCUAACACCCUUUCAAGUGCAAUCAUGUGCUUUCUUUCAUUCUAACUAAUGACUGAUUCCUUUCUCUUCUUCUGUCCAGAUAACUUUAAGCUCCUUAUCUUUAUUGAAUCUAACUUAGAAAACAAAUGUGUUGUGUUCUAACAUCAAAUAUGAAACACAUUUUUGUAAUAGAACAUUGUUGUCUUUAAUUUUCCAUAUUAUAUCCCUAAAAUCACAGACACUUUGAAAAGACAUUACAUUGUGUUUUAUGAACAUUCCAAAUAAUAAGUAGCUAAGAUAAAUAUUUUCUGAACUCUGAAUGUUAAAAUCUGGUACUUCUUUGUAUUCUCAUAUUCUAAAAUAGCUAAUAUGAUGGGCCUAGGUGUUCAAACUGGAGAGAUUGAGUAGAGCUUGACACUAGGGGGUUGAAAAUUGUUCGCCCUGGUUUCUUCUACUUUAAUUAUCAUUUUUUUAUUUGAGUUCCCCUUAAUUUUAUGUUGGAAUACUAUAAUAAUAUCCUGACUCUUGUGUGUGUGUUUGUGUGUGUGUAUUUUUCAAUUUACUUUUUAAGCUCAUAUGACUGAUAUCAGCACCUCCCUAUAUAAGCACCAUAACUGUUCCAGGUAGAAAGUAAAAGCAGACACGCUUAAAAUUUUGCAUCUACAAUUUACCCCUUUCCCUCAAAUGUUAUUUUCAAUACAUCAUCAUUUUAUUGUUAACAAGUUAAAUAUUGUUCCAAUUCUCCUUCUUCUUCUAUCCUCUUUGUUAUUACCACAAAUCAGUGUUCUGGGGUGGGAGACUCCCCUUGGAACAUCUGAAAAUGCCUAAAGAUAUUGAGAUGUUGUUAUACUGGAGAUGAGGGAAAUAUUACUGACAUCUAGUGAGUAGAAGCCUUGGUUACUGAUAAACUACUACAUUUUUACAGCAAAACCCCCAACAGCACAGAAUUCUGCAAUGCAGAACCAUCAUAAUGCUGAGGUCCAGAAACUGCCUGAGAUCAAGACAUCAUUAACUGGUAAGUAGAUACCUGAAACAACAGGAUGAAUGAAUGAUCUCUCUCUCUGUUGCUCUGGCUCCCAUCCAAGACAAAUUUCCACACUACAGCAGAGCCAGCCUGUCCAAAAUGUAAAAAGAGCCUGCAUUUUAUACUUAAAACUUUAAUUACUUAGUACAAGGGAUGGAAGGCAUUAUAAAAUUCUUCAUAAAUUAUUUCCUAAUUAACUCUUUAGUUUCUUCUCACCUCCCUUUUUCUUUCUAUACCAAACUUCAGCACUACUGAAGAGUUUUCUAUUAUUUAAACGUUCAUCUUCUCUCUCUGUUGUCUGAUUUCUGGCAUUUUGAUAUGCUGAAGCUUCUGCCUGAUUGCUAUGACACUCAAUUGAUAGGGCUUGUUCCCUUUGGACAUAGGUCUCCCUCUGAGGAAAAAAUAGAAUAUAAUCAGGAAAAUGCAAAUAACCACUGCAUCACUGGAAUUUCUGAGAGAGCUUAUUAGACUAUUUUGGAAAAUUAAUUUAGUAUAUUUUGUAAUUGUGUUGCAUUCUAAAAAACAAACACCCACCUCAGUUUGUUAUUUUUGCCAUUUUAACACACAAUAAGAUACUUCUGAGACAAAGUUUUUCUCCUGAUUUGUUUUGGCACUGGAACCUGGAGUCAUCCACCAGGACAGAGUGCCUAAGGAAGAUGGACUUCCCUUCAUUUUCAGAUGCCCCAGUUGUCUGAGCAAUAAAUAUUAUUCCAUCUACUUAAUAGCCAGGAAGUCACAAAACAAUUGAGAAAAAAAUAGCAAGUUUUGAGACAGUGAGGAAUUCUUCCUGCUUAUACUUUAAUAAAGACAAAACAAUAUGAACAAAAUUUCUAGUGAUGUUUAAUUGGCUUAGGUAAGGUAGGGGAUAGCCAUCUGAACAAGUCACUGACAUAUCAAUGUUACCUUUUGGAAUUUUAAGCAAUUUUUUGACAAAGGAAACUGAUUUUGCCAAUCUGAGAGAUAGUGGAGACUUUUUCUCUUUGAAUAAAAUCAUCCUACUGACUUACACAGAUAGAUUCCAAAUUUUUGUAUCAUGCUGCUUGAUUUUGCAAAUGCCACUGUCCAAUUUCCCUUAGAUUUUUUUUUUUAAGUUCUCUUGUGUAAUAUGUAGGAGUAGUUUCUUGGCCUGAUGGGCACAACUUCCCCUUUGUGACACAGUGAAAAUAAGGAUACUGGUAAUAGACAUCAAUAAGUUCCAUUCCAAUUUUUAAAGAAUUAGCAUUUACAUGUUUAGUUUUCAAAAAAUAAAAAUCAAACAAAUGUUAUUCCUCAUAAAAGACUUGUGACACAGAAUAUUUAAUUUCUAUAAUUUGCUGUUUCCUUCACUUAUCUACAAUAUCAUAUUCUUCUUUAGAGUGGAAGAGAUAAAAGCUUUUGUGUUGAUGACAUAUUAAAGAGAGAAAGUGAAAUGAGCUUAAGUUUGAUUUAAAAAAUGUGUUUUUCAGAAUGUGUAAGUUCAAUUUUUAUAAGCAUUAAAGCCAAGCAUUUCUAAGUGAUCAGACUUAACUCUUCUUUUAAAUUUAUUCCAUAGGUAAUAGCAGACAAUUAAAAACUACUCCCCACAUCCACAGAAGCAUUAUUUUCCACUUGAGAAAUGCAAGUACCUUUGUUUCAUUAUCUAUUAGAGGAUAGAGAAAUAGUAGGUCUGACAAAAAUAUAUGUAUGAUAUGUAUAAUAUAUAAUAUAUAUGUAUAAAAGAUGGGCGUAUUUAAGUAUGUAAAUUGUAUCUCUGCCUGUCUUAAAAACUGCUAAUUAAAAAAGUGAAUGCCAUUCUAAUUUUAUUCUGUUUAAGAGGUAAUUUAUUCAAGAAUAUUCAGAAAUCAUCUAUCUAAUGGAAGGUUAGAUUUUAUUAGCAUAAUCCAAAAGUAUCAUUUAUUACUGGGGUAAGUAAGUGGUGCAGGGAUUUCAUUUGGGCUUUAAAGUUUGUGUCCACUUGCACUAUAAAAUUAUUGUAAGAAAAGUUCCUUGUCACAAAAUAUAGAAUUAAUAUUAUAGCUCUGAAUAUUAGAUAUAAUACACAGUAACUAGAAACUUUAGAUAUAUUUUAUAUUUAGAUUAUUCUUUCAUUCUUCCUUUUAUAUACUAGAUGUUGAUGAUAUAAAGAAUAAUACAAUAUGAUACCAAUCUUGAAAGAAUUUGCAUCAUAAUGGAGAAGAUAUCUAUUUGUAAAAACUGAGACAAAGCACACUUAAUGUUGUGAUUAAAGCUUUUGAAAAAGUAUAUGGAAAUUAGAUUAAUAAGCUCUCACUUCUAUUAGGAUGGGAAAGUAAUGAUGGUACGGCAGAAAUUCUUUGGGUCAUGAAAAAAAGAAUUCAAGGUGGAGCUUUAAGAGCUAGAGGCAAUGGAGGCUGUGUUGGCAAAUGUUAAACGUAAAUAGUGACAGAGAAGCAAUAAAAAUCAGAAGAGGUAGGAAUUGUGUGAAGCAAAGGAAUUAUGUGUACAAGUAUUACAGGGAAUUUGGAAGACUAUUUGUGAUCAUGCUUGGAAGAGCUGGGGUGCAUAUGAAUAAAUAUUGAGUUUACUGCAUAAAUAAUAGAAUACUUUCUUACUUUUGUGGGUAUGGCAUGGUUAAAUGUUUAUUUUAGAAACUAAUGCUUGUGAGAGGGGAGAAUGGCACACUUGAGAGAGGCUCAUGACAGGAAGAGCAACUAGGGGCAGGUCACUGUUCUCUAGGCUAGAGAUAAGAGAAUGGAGGGUUGUAAGCACUGGCAAUAAUGACAAAAUGAGAACUUAUUUAGAAAGCAGAAUAAACAAAACAUAAUAGUAAGGAUUUGAUUUUUAUAAAGUGUGUUGUAGCUAAAAUCACAAAAUUUAGAGAUUUAAAAUUGCCUAUAAUUAUGUCUCAAUUAUGGUAAAAACUGCAUUAAAAUAAUUGAAUACUUGGUGUGUCACAGCAACUCAUGUGGUGGGAACAGCAGCAGCGGCCAGGCAGCACAGUUUCAGAAGGUUCCUGAGAGCCACUGCCUGCAGCACCUGCGUGAGCCUUGUGCUCUCAACCAGGAAGCUCCAGAGGAAGGUCAGCUCUGAAGAAUGUGAGGCUAAGAAGAAGCCCAAGAGGAGGUCUUCCAGGCUGUCUGCUCGGACUGCUACUGCCAAGGCAGAUGCCAAAACCAGAAAGGUUUUCUUUCAUAGUCAGCAAAUGGAAAUAGUGAUGUGAAUGAAUAAUUGUGAUAUGAGGUAAUAAAUGCAGUUUUGCAAAUAUUUCCAAAAUAGAACUGUCGGGAAGCAGCAAGUCAUCAAGUUGACUAUAUAAAGUAUAUGUUCACUUUUAUAAGGAGAUUUUAUAAGGAUAACAAAGGAGGAGUUGAAUAUUUCCAGAUGGAGCAGAGUGAGACUGAGAGGUCUGUGAAAAGAAAAUAGGAUUUCAGGAGGUGCAUCAUCAUCUGCCUAACUAGAAAUAUAUUAGACAGUUAAGGGAACUUUAAUUUGAUUGAAAUGCACAAUAUAUUUCUAUAACAAAGGGAGAAUAGGCAAAAGAGAAAUUAGAGAGUACAUUGCUUGGUCCUUUAAUAAACUCAGAUUUUAUUCUUAAGCAAAGACAGGAAUAACAUGGGGACAUUUACAUUUUAGAAUAAUCUCACUGGCUUUAUUGCUGAUGAUGGGAUAACAGGAUGUAAGACCUACGAAUGAGGGGCUCAGAGUAGAGCUUACUAUAUUUUAGCAAAAGAUGAUACAAAUUUUAAUGUCAUUAUCAGUUACCAGACGAUGUUAUUUAGAGUCAACAAAAUACGACUACAUUGAGAAGUAAGUUGAGAAGUAAAAUUGAUAUAUGUUUGAUUUGAUAUAUUUUGACCUGGAAUUUAUAUAUUAAAAAAAAACCUUUUAUAAUUUACACUAAGUGUUUGCUGUGCCUCUAUAGAUGAAAUAUUUGAAGGAUUUACUGAAUCUGACAAUUUUAGUGUUUUAGCCUCCUGAUUCAUUAAUAUAAAAUGUUACAUUUUAAGUAAGGGAAGUAUUUUUUGUUUGAAUUACUGCU